GUCAUAUUACUCACUUACCUACAAACUAAUUAGCUCCUUAAUUUUACAGUUAUUUUAGCUUCACGUACACUUUCACAAUUUUCCUUCUGACAUAGUUAUAUGAAGUUUCAGAAUUAACAAACAUUUUGUUCUGAGGUUUAAUUACUCUGUGUAAAUUGUGAGGUGAAGCUGAGGGAAAUGCAAUAAUUUUAAUUAAACUCUGUCCCAAGUUACCGCAGAUCUUAAACGUGAAAUGAAAUGUUCUAGUUGAGUGCAAGUAAACUAAAAGGAACAUUUCUGCUAAAUCCAAUAAAGUGAAUACCAAAUAUAAAUAUUGAUUUCAUCCAUUUUGCAGUUCGUAGUAGAUAUUUUUACAGCUCGGGAGAAUACUUUAAAGGGAGCGUGUGUGAUCUGUGAGGAAGAAGCUACGACUGUGGCUACUACCACCGGAGAGGAAGAAGAGGAAGAGGCUCCUCAGAAGCAAGGCUGUUCCAUCUGGUGCUGGAUACAGAAGAUUGCUAUGUUCGUUAUAUCGCAAUUGUUAAGCGGCAACUGAUUUGGCAACUUAAUUUCAUACAUUCUCCGUGUAAUGUAUGGAUUGUUUUUGAAUAAAACAAUAUGUAAUACA